UACGUAGGGGGCGAGCGUUGUCCGGAAUCAUUGGGCGUAAAGAGCGUGUAGGCGGACUGGAAGGUCUGGUGUGAAAGCCCGGGGGCUCAACCCCGGAGGGUCACUGGAAACCAACAGUCUUGAGUCCGGAAGAGGAGAGUGGAAUUCCUGGUGUAGCGGUGGAAUGCGCAGAUAUCAGGAAGAACACCAAUGGCGAAGGCAGCUCGCUGGGACGGUACUGACGCUGGAGACGCGAAAGCGUGGGGAGCAAACAGG
rnacentral:rRNA from 1 species